rnacentral:rRNA from 1 species
GGCUCAGGAUGAACGCUGGCGGCGUGCCUAAUACAUGCAAGUCGAACGAGUUCUCGUUGAUGAUCGGUGCUUGCACCGAGAUUCAACAUGGAACGAGUGGCGGACGGGUGAGUAACACGUGGGUAACCUGCCCUUAAGUGGGGGACAACAUUUGGAAACAGAUGCUAAUACCGCAUAGAUCCAAGAACCGCAUGGUUCUUGGCUGAAAGAUGGCGUAAGCUAUCGCUUUUGGAUGGACCCGCGGCGUAUUAGCUAGUUGGUGAGGUAAUGGCUCACCAAGGCGAUGAUACGUAGCCGAACUGAGAGGUUGAUCGGCCACAUUGGGACUGAGACACGGCCCAAACUCCUACGGGAGGCAGCAGUAGGGAAUCUUCCACAAUGGACGCAAGUCUGAUGGAGCAACGCCGCGUGAGUGAAGAAGGCUUUCGGGUCGUAAAACUCUGUUGUUGGAGAAGAAUGGUCGGCAGAGUAACUGUUGUCGGCGUGACGGUAUCCAACCAGAAAGCCACGGCUAACUACGUGCCAGCAGCCGCGGUAAUACGUAGGUGGCAAGCGUUAUCCGGAUUUAUUGGGCGUAAAGCGAGCGCAGGCGGUUUUUUAAGUCUGAUGUGAAAGCCCUCGGCUUAACCGAGGAAGCGCAUCGGAAACUGGGAAACUUGAGUGCAGAAGAGGACAGUGGAACUCCAUGUGUAGCGGUGAAAUGCGUAGAUAUAUGGAAGAACACCAGUGGCGAAGGCGGCUGUCUGGUCUGUAACUGACGCUGAGGCUCGAAAGCAUGGGUAGCGAACAGGAUUAGAUACCCUGGUAGUCCAUGCCGUAAACGAUGAAUGCUAGGUGUUGGAGGGUUUCCGCCCUUCAGUGCCGCAGCUAACGCAUUAAGCAUUCCGCCUGGGGAGUACGACCGCAAGGUUGAAACUCAAAGGAAUUGACGGGGGCCCGCACGAGCGGUGGAGCAUGUGGUUUAAUUCGAAGCACGCGGAAGAACCUUACCAGGUCUUGACAUCUUUUGAUCACCUGAGAGAUCAGGUUUCCCCUUCGGGGGCAAAAUGACAGGUGGUGCAUGGUUGUCGUCAGCUCGUGUCGUGAGAUGUUGGGUUAAGUCCCGCAACGAGCGCAACCCUUAUGACUAGUUGCCAGCAUUUAGUUGGGCACUCUAGUAAGACUGCCGGUGACAAACCGGAGGAAGGUGGGGAUGACGUCAAAUCAUCAUGCCCCUUAUGACCUGGGCUACACACGUGCUACAAUGGAUGGUACAACGAGUUGCGAGACCGCGAGGUCAAGCUAAUCUCUUAAAGCCAUUCUCAGUUCGGACUGUAGGCUGCAACUCGCCUACACGAAGUCGGAAUCGCUAGUAAUCGCGGAUCAGCACGCCGCGGUGAAUACGUUCCCGGGCCUUGUACACACCGCCCGUCACACCAUGAGAGUUUGUAACACCCGAAGCCGGUGGCGUAACCCUUUUAGGGAGCGAGCCGUCUAAGGUGGGACAAAUGAUUAGGGUG